UCCGGCCACAUCAUGUUGAAACACCGGUUCUCGUACGAUCACCGAAGUUAAGCAACGUCGACCUUGGUCAGUACCUGGGCAACAGCUUAGGAAUACCAGGUGUUGUAAG